rnacentral:rRNA from 2 species
GGAUUAGUGGCGAACGGGUGAGGAACACGUGAGAAACCUGCCUCGGAUUUUGGGAUAACAAAUGGAAACGUUUGCUAAUACCAAAUAACGUCGGAGAGUCACAUGACUUUCUGACGAAAGGAAUUCCGAUUCGAGAGGGUCUCGCGGCCUAUCAGCUUGUUGGCGGGGUAAUGGCCCACCAAGGCAACGACGGGUAGCUGGUCUGAGAGGAUGGUCAGCCACACUGGGACUGAGACACGGCCCAGACUCC